AUUGAACGCUGGCGGCAUGCUUUACACAUGCAAGUCGAACGGUAACAGGCCUUCGGGUGCUGACGAGUGGCGAACGGGUGAGUAAUGCAUCGGAACGUGCCCAGAGGUGGGGGAUAACGCAGCGAAAGCUGUGCUAAUACCGCAUGUGAUCUGAGGAUGAAAGCGGGGGACCAGGCAGCAAUGUUUGGCCUCGCGCCUUUGGAGCGGCCGAUGUCAGAUUAGGUAGUUGGUGGGGUAAAGGCCUACCGAGCCGACGAUCUGUAGCUGGUCUGAGAGGACGACCAGCCACACUGGGACUGAGACACGGCCCAGACUCCUACGGGAGGCAGCAGUGGGGAAUUUUGGACAAUGGGCGCAAGCCUGAUCCAGCAAUGCCGCGUGCGGGAAGAAGGCCUUCGGGUUGUAAACCGCUUUUGUACGGAACGAAAAGGCUCUGGCUAAUACCUGGGGCUGAUGACGGUACCGUAAGAAUAAGCACCGGCUAACUACGUG
rnacentral:rRNA from 1 species